rnacentral:rRNA from 1 species
AAUCAACGCUGGCGGCGUGCCUAACACAUGCAAGUCGAACGAGAAAGUGGAGCAAUCCAUGAGUAAAGUGGCGCACGGGUGAGUAACACGUGACUAACCUACCUUUUAGUGGGGGAUAACCUAGGGAAACCUGGGCUAAUACCGCAUAAUACCUACGGGUCAAAGCAGCAAUGCGCUGAAAGAGGGGGUCGCGGCCGAUUAGCCAGUUGGCGGGGUAAUGGCCCACCAAGGCGAUGAUCGGUAUCCGGCCUGAGAGGGCGCACGGACACACUGGAACUGAAACACGGUCCAGACUCCUACGGGAGGCAGCAGUGGGGAAUUUUGCGCAAUGGGGGAAACCCUGACGCAGCAACGCCGCGUGGAGGAUGAAGUCCCUUGGGACGUAAACUCCUUUCGAUCGGGAAGAUAAUGACGGUACCGGAAGAAGAAGCCCCGGCUAACUUCGUCCAGCAGCCGCGGUAAUACGAGGGGGGCAAGCGUUGUUCGGAAUUAUUGGGCGUAAAGGGUGCGUAGGUGGUUCGGCAAGUCUUGUGUG